UGGCCCGAUAGGGUACCAAUGCCAUCUGGGGGCGGAGAGAGCAGCAGUUCAGGCAGGAAGGAUUACACUCGGAAGCUACUUCUGUUCCUGAACAGCCUCAGAUCCAAGCAGGAAUCAAGCAUGCACCGCCCGAAAACUGCAGAGCCUGUCAGCCCCACUCAGAAACACAGCAAGGCUGUAAAUCAGGGAUAGGAAGAAGCUGUCUCGAGGUUUUCCUGCCCGGCCAGACAGAGACACGGACUGCCAGGGUUCCAGACUCGGAAAAUUAAGUCUGUGGAUGGGUCCUUUUGAGGCAGGGACUGUAGUGAUGCUGAGCUGAGCGGGGAGGUCCCACUGUUCCCUCCUAACUUGCCUUUGAGGAGCAGCCUCCCCUCCCAGCAGGCACCUUAGUGAUGGAUCUCCUGGGCCAAUCGGGCCAAGGCUAGUACUCAAUAGCUGCGGCUUCAGGCGCUGCCUGCGAGGCUGUGAGGCUGUGCAAGGGGAAUUUUCCACUGCCAGGUUCCAUUCAGCUCACACUACAGCCUUGACUGUUUACAGAGAGCAGGAAGGUGCAGCCUCCCCCAGGGCACAGCCCAGGGUAGGAUUCAAGGAUGCUCCCUUGACUGGACCUGAGAGAUGCCCCGCGUGGGUGCAGAGCCCGCAGGGAGAACUCAGACGAAAUGGAGGACUUUAAGACCCCAAGCUCAGAUUCUAUAACGCCCACGGGACCAAGAGGUGUGCAACCUCCCCGCCUCCCCGCAAAAUGUGUCCGUAUCUGGUUGGCCAUAGCACCCCAAAGGUCGUUAAGGUGGCUCUAAAACCCCUUUGGGCGUGAGGAAGAAAAAUAAAAUAAAAUAAACUGCUCCUCGUUUGACCCUAAAUGAGGAACACAAA